CCUACGGGAGGCAGCAGUGAGGAAUAUUGGUCAAUGGGCGCGAGCCUGAACCAGCCAAGUAGCGUGAAGGAUGACUGCCCUACGGGUUGUAACCUUCUUUUAUAAAGGACUAGAGUGCGGCACGUGUGCCUUUUUGUAUGUCCUUUAUGAAUAAGGAUCGGCUAACUCCGUGCCAGCAGCCUCGGUAAUACGGAGGAUCCGGGCGUUAUCCGGAUUUAUUGGGUUUAAAGGGAGCGUAGAUGGGUUGUUAAGUCAGUUGUGAAAGUUUGCGGCUCAACCGUAAAAUUGCAAUUGAUACUGGCAGUCUGGAGUACAGUUGAGGUAGGCGGAAUUCGUGGUGUAGCGGUGAAAUGCUUAGAGAUCACGAAGAACUCCGAUUGCGAAGGCAGCUUACUAAACUGCGACUGACAUUGAUGCCCGAAAGUGUGGGUAUCAAACAGGAUUAGAUACCCUGGUAGUC
rnacentral:rRNA from 1 species